UACGGGGGGAGCAAGCGUUGUUCGGAUUUACUGGGCGUAAAGGGCGCGUAGGCGGCCAGCACAAGUCAGUUGUGAAAUCUCCGAGCUUAACUCGGAAAGGUCAACUGAUACUGUGCGGCUAGAGUGCGGAAGGGGCAACUGGAAUUCUUGGUGUAGCGGUGAAAUGCGUAGAUAUCAAGAGGAACACCUGCGGCGAAGGCGGGUUGCUGGGCCGUAACUGACGCUGAGGAGCGAAAGCGUGGGGAGCGAACAGG
rnacentral:rRNA from 1 species